AGGGUGUAAACGCUGCAGACUUGGUGUUGGAAGUCCUUUGGGGGCAUUCAGUGCCGGAGAGAAGUUGUUAAGUCUGCUACUUGGGGAGUACGUCCGCAAGGAUGAAACUUAAAGGAAUUGGCGGGGGGAGCACCGCAACGGGAGGAGCGUGCGGUUUAAUUGGAUUUCAACACCGUAAAACUCACCGGGAAGACUGUUACAUGAAGGCCGAGAUGAAGACUCUGCUAGAUUUUUCAGAGAGGAGGUGCAUGGCGUCAGUG
rnacentral:rRNA from 1 species